CGAUUAAUUAUUAAUCAAGCCAAAAAACAACAAGCAACCGCUAAGGCAACAAUAACAAACAAGCCAGACUCACAAUUACAAUAUUUCAGCUCUCUCAGUCGCCGUCUUCAGUCCACAGUCUCCGGUCCACAGUCUACAGUCAACGCAGAGUCUUCGGUCCUCAGUCUUUAGUGUUCAGUCUUCUGUCUCAGCUGCGAAAUCUCGACUUUCUUCAAGCCUCUCUUCGAGCCAAAGCCACAGAGCUGUUACACAUUUGACUUUUCGGCGCUGCGGCAACUGGUUCGGUUUAUUUUUGGCUCUAAAUCUAAAGACUGCAGCGCUGCUAAUGCAAAUCUAAAUUGAUUGCAAAAUGCUUAGAGUCGAUCGCCGUUGCCGGAUUGUUCGGCUUGUUCGAGUUAUAGGAGCUAGAUCGUUUUGAGAUAUGUUUUGAUAAUCUGUUAAAUAUUUUUCAAAAUUUUGUUUGUUGUAUUUGUUAGUUAGGUCUUGAAACUAAUAUUCCCCAAGCCUUACUCACCAUAUCAAUCAUACGCCUCGUGUGCCCAUCUGGCAACGCUAGCUGCCCAAAUCCAUGCAGCCAACUUAAUUGAUGCCGCUGAUCGAUCUGGUUGUUGUUCUUGCCGCUGAUCCUUUCUUCCCGUAUAUUGUGUUUGCCACAGGAACACAAGUGCAACAAAACAAGCAGCCGAGGAGCAGAAAAAGCACAACAAGCUCGCUGACAACAUCGACUUCAUCGUUCGCCGUGUGUCGUGUAUUAAAACUUGUUCAUUGGAAUUUUCUAAUAAAUCAAUAAACGCA